rnacentral:rRNA from 1 species
CAGUAGCCGCGGGAAUACGUAGGUGGCGAGCGUUGUCCGGAUUUAUUGGGCGUAAAGGGAGUGUAGGCGGUCUUUUAAGUCUGAUGUGAAAGCCCACGGCUCAACCGUGGAGGGUCAUUGGAAACUGGGAGACUUGAGUGCAGAAGAGGAGAGUGGAAUUCCACGUGUAGCGGUGAAAUGCGUAGAGAUGUGGAGGAACACCAGUGGCGAAGGCGACUCUCUGGUCUGUAACUGACGCUGAGGAGCGAAAGCGUGGGGAGCGAACAGGAUUAGAUACCCCCGUAGUCCCUGUCUCUUAUAC